UCUAACCGCGGUCCGUUAUCCGGAUCCGGGACCCUGCGUGGCGGGUAGUUUGACUGGGGCGGUCGCCUCCCAAAGAGUAACGGAGGCGCGCGAUGGUGGGCUCAGAGCGGUCGGAAAUCGCUCGUUGAGUGCAAUGGCAUAAGCCCGCCUGACUGCGAGACUGACAGGUCGAGCAGAGUCGAAAGACGGCCAUAGUGAUCCGGUGGUCCCGCAUGGAA
rnacentral:rRNA from 1 species